rnacentral:rRNA from 1 species
AACGAACGCUGGCGGCAGGCCUAACACAUGCAAGUCGAGCGAGGACUUCGGUUCUAGCGGCGGACGGGUGAGUAACGCGUGGGAAUGUGCCCUUCUCUACGGCAUAGCCCUGGGAAACUGGGAGUAAUACCGUAUACGCCCUAUUGGGGAAAGAUUUAUCGGAGAAGGAUCAGCCCGCGUUGGAUUAGGUAGUUGGUGGGGUAAUGGCCUACCAAGCCGACGAUCCAUAGCUGGGUUGAGAGGAUGAUCAGCCACACUGGGACUGAGACACGGCCCAGACUCCUACGGGAGGCAGCAGUGGGGAAUCUUAGACAAUGGGGGCAACCCUGAUCUAGCCAGGCCGCGUGAGUGAUGAAGGCCUUAGGGUUGUAAAGCUCUUUCAGCUGGGAAGAUAAUGACGGUACCAGCAGAAGAAGCCCCGGCUAACUCCGUG